UACGGGGGGGGCAAGCGUUGUUCGGAAUUAUUGGGCGUAAAGGGCGCGUAGGCGGUGCGGUAAGUCACCUGUGAAAUCUCCGGGCUUAACUCGGAGCCUGCAGGCGAAACUGCCGUGCUUGAGUGUGGGAGAGGUGCGUGGAAUUCCCGGUGUAGCGGUGAAAUGCGUAGAUAUCUGGAGGAACACCGGUGGCGAAAGCGACUCACUGGACCGACACUGACGCUGAGGUGCGAAAGCUAGAGUAGCAAACGGG
rnacentral:rRNA from 1 species